rnacentral:lncRNA from 1 species
AAACAUGCAUUCUGUCAGUUUCUUAACAACUCUAUUUCUCGUGACAUGGGAGAAAGCCCAAAACCAAUCAAGCACGUGUUUACAGGAAGAAUGAGCCUAGGCCAAACACCAAUCUAUACUUAUUCCUACAAAGUCAAAAGAAGGACUCACAAUUCCAGCAAAUGAGCAUAACUACUUACCAAAAGACCAAGAUAAAAGUCUAAAUGCCCAAGAUACGAAGCCGGUGCACUCAAAGCUUCCAGCAGUAAGGAAUGUGACACAAGCUUUCUGCACCUCCCCUUUCCUGUGUCAGAGACGUAUAAACCUACAAUCAUAAGAGUAUUGCAUCACGCAAAGUUUAGCCUUUUUGCUAGCACAAAGAGGCCCAGCACGCCAUAAAGAAAAAUGAAAAAAAAAAAAUGGAGCAAUCCGUACCAGCGACUUCUCCUCACAUUUUCGGCACCCUUCCAGCAACUUGCAAAAAGAAAGAAAUAAAAAAGGAGAGAACCCCAAAAACUAACGCAAACAUUUCCUUGCUAACCAUUACGCCAACAAAAGUUGGAUGGGUCAAAAGAAGUGGGUGCUUGGCUGCCAAAACAAAGAGCAAAACGCAUGGGCAUGAAGAACCCAAUGAACCCCUCAAUAGAUUCAAGAAAUUGCAACAGAAAAGGGCAUACCUUGUUAAUCCCCUCAAAGGAUAGCCUCAGAUGUACCAAGAAAGAAGGAACUGAGAAUUUUGGAAGAAAAGUCUACACAGAGACAAUCUCUUCCAGGAACGGCAAGUGGGUUUCUUCGCGAGGGGAAUGAUGGAGUCGAGUUUGGCUUGAGCUCCCUUCCAGCGGCUGUAGACGGGCGGUUCUUCUCUCUCUCUCUCUCUCUCUCUCUCUCUCUCUCUCUUUCUCUAAGUUCGUUGGAGGAAGAAAAGGAAAAAGAAGAUGAAGGUGAUGGGGAGAGGGUUACUCUAGUGCGCAUAAAGAGGAAGGAGAAGAAGGAAGAAAUAAUAAAUGAAAAAGAAGGAGGAAGUUGGUAUCUGGGAAACCAUAAAAUAACUGCUGAAGCUUAUGAAUUUGAUUUUUGGGUCGGGUUUAAUUAUUUGGCCCAUUCCAGCACUUAUCCAUGGCCCUAAUAAUUAAGGGGGCUAAUGUUGAGGCCCAAAAAAUCCAAGGUUGAGCCCAAAUAAAUUUCUAGCCUAGUGCUACACCUCAUUAAGAAAAGACCCAGUUUGGAGCACUCAAAAUUCUUCAUGCACGCUUUCACGGGCCACGACCACGUGCCAUGCCAAAUAAAUAUGCAAUCCAUCACGCUAUGAAUUGAAAUGAGCCUAUAAAAGGCACUGGCUCUACAAGCCCAUGUUAAUUACCCUAUCAAGCAUCAUGUCAAAGACGAUAAAAUUCAAGCACAACAUGCCAUGCCAAGUAGGAAACCAUUAUUUCACACCUAGCCACGCUACAACCUUAAUCCCAAGCCACACAAAUACCCGGGGCUUGCUGAGUAGGUUGUGGCAUGGAUGGUUA